ensembl:lncRNA
GGGGGAGGCACACAAGAAUUCCCUGAUAAUCCAAAACCGUGGCCUCAUAGGCGUCAUUUUCCUUCUGGGCCAGUGAAGGACCGCGUCCUGCGGCCCCUUCCCCGUCCGCACAGGAGCACGCACCGCCCCUCACUCUGAGCCUGGCCGUGAUACAGGCACCGGCCGCCCGCAGGCACCGGAGUGUGCCAGCGUUCUGGAAACUCGCCGCACUUCAGAGAGGAACUGACGCCGUGAUACCGACCCACAGGUACGAGAGGGAUGCUUCCAGCUCCCUCGAGUCCUGCGUGUCCCUCUGGCCUCGCCCCCCAGGAGCGUGAGUGUGGCACUGACAGCUGCUCGCAAGGUGCUCGGGUCACUGGCUGCAGUGUCAGCUGGACCCUUCACUGCGGGUGGCUGCAACCAGCUCAGCCGGGCGUGAGCCAAAACGGGCCUCUCCUGGCUCGUGAAACAGGAGCACACAGGACAGCUGACAGCAGGCCCACGGAGGGCCGAGCACCCGGACGACAGCCAGAGCCUGCCUCUGCAAGGUGGUCUCUGUCCCCCGUGGACUUUCCCCAGCUGGCGAGAUGACCCCAGCAGCUCCAGUUACCUCCUGUCAGACUCAGUGCUUCUGUCCAGGGACCUGUAAAGUCCUGGCCUGACACCAUCGGCUCCAGCCCCCGGGAGCUGUAGGUCCUUCUGGCCGAGCUCCGUGGGCCGCCACCUCUGCACGGCCCGACGAGUGCGCAGCCAGGCUCGGGAGGUGCUGCCGGCGCCCCACGCUGGAUCUUCCCUGCCCUUGGAGAGGCCUUGCGUCUGACGACACCAUGGGGUCUGACGACACCAUGGGGCAGGACAGAGGCCAGCAGCUGGCCCCGCCCCUCCGAGACCCACUCCUGCUCUGUCCCCAGGUACUCCAGCUUCUGGGCCAGGAUGCCUGCGUGUGACUUGGGCCGUUUCCUCACCUGUCAUGGGGCUGAGCUUGGUGUCAGGCCCGGGACAUAGGACAGCCCUCGAGGUAUGGUCUCCAGUGCCCAGCUGCCCCGUGACUCCCAUCUCUGCACGUGCUGGGUGUGGGACAUGGGAAAAGUUGUGAACCUCUCUGAGCCCGUUUCCUCUGUGAAACGUCAAUACCCACCUCGUCAGAUUGUGAGAGGAACAGAUGAGUUAAUGUGUGUGAAGCACAGAGGCCAGCGCCUGGCAUAAACGUUAGAAACGGGUUAGCCAUCAGCAUCGCAAUCGGUCAUCGUUGGCAUGGCCCUGUUCCCCUUGCACUGACUGGUUUAGUCAUGGGUGUGUGACCCGGUUCCUUUUAUCUUAAAAGAGACACAGAAGAGACAACCACCUGCUCACACACACCUUAGCCUGGAGAUGGUCCUGUUUGGAUGUGAUGCCUGGAAUGGUGGUGGCCAUCUUGCAACGAGGCCUGAUCCUGGAUGGCCACAUGGGAGGAGGAUGUACACCAGGACAAAACUGGGGCUCUCAGCCCCACCCCGUGGCCAAGUGGUUAAGUUCGCACGCUCUGCUUCUGCGGCCCAGGGUUUCACUGGUUCGAAUCCUGGGCGCAGACAUGACACCGUUCAUCAAGCCACGCUGAGGCGGCAUCCCACAUGCCACAACUAGAAGGACCCAUAACUAAAAAUAUAUAACUUUGUACUGGGGGGCUUUGGGAGA